GUGUGUGUGUGCGUGUGUGUGUGUGUGUGUGUGUGUGUAUUCACUGCUGUGGGUUCAGUAUCGAUGGGAUAUUGAUAAUGAUCGAUCAGACAGUGUCAGUAUUCUGUCGCCAGAGUGUGAAUCACUACAGUUUGUUAAGAGCAGACAAACAACAAGCAGGUGAAUAAACAGCAGAGCGGGCUGUCUACGUGACCAGCUGACGGACCUGGACUGGUUGACCGUCCUACCUUGACUCUGACACGGACCACCCCUCUCUCCUCCUCGCCUGCCAUUUUCAAGAAUCCGUGCUGGGGUAGGAUGUUUGUUCUGGGCUUUGUUUUGCUUCUAAGAAGAAGACAUGAUGAUCGGUCAUAUGAUCAGAGCUAGCGCUGCUCCACUUCCUCUGCUUCGUGAUCUUCUUCUGCACUUGGUUAUUCAGAGGCCCCACAGCGACAUUACCGCCAUCUACUGGACACACCUUGAUCAUGUCAGCAAAAGUCCAAUCCAGUCUAACGUACUUUUCUGUGAACUUUUAAAAUUGAUCAAAUGGCCCAUUCUCCUUAAGGUGGAGGAAAUGUAUUUAGAGGUGGAACCUCGUGAUGAGAUAUACGAAACAUUAGAACACAUGUUUUUUCAUGUUCUGUUUCAAACAAAUUAUGGCUAUUAUCACUCAAAGUAAACGACAUUCUGACACUUUAUUUGGAUUCGGAUUAUCUAAAUUCAUUUAUUUCUGACAUGGUUAAGCUUUAUAAUCCUAAUGGGUAAAUAUCAUAUUCAUUCUAGUAAAUGCAGAAAUUAGCCAUCAUUUUGGACAUAUGUAAAUUUUUAUUUAUUUGAUGUCCUCCUUUUGGAGCUCCAUUGUGUCAAUGCUAGUAUCACCAGUGUGUCAGUAAAUAUUUGCUCCUUGA